GUCCUCCCCAUCAAACAACUUAAGGGAACAAAGGUUUGUUUGGCUUCUGGUGUCAGGGAGGGAACUCAGCAACUUAUAUUUAGGUUGCUUUUGCUCGUUUUUUUAUCACAGCAACAGAUGAUCAAACCAAAACGUCCUUUUCAUUUUCUCUGGGCCUCCAGCCCAUGGGACGAUGCCACCCACCUUCAAGGAAGAGCAUCUGUCACAUGUCAGUGGUGGAGACGGUCUGAUCAGCUGAGCUGCCUGGAGGAGACUGACCAGUCAAGCCGCCUGUGAUUCCUGUGAGCUGUCACCCAUGCUGGGGUGGCGUUUUUGGUGACACAACUACCUUUGAGUCUCCCACACUCCUGUAAGUAAGCCCUCACUCAUAUCCUGUAAGUCUUGCCGGGCUCACAUCGAGACUCCAGAGAAGAGAGGGGAAGGAAGAGAACGAUUUCCUGCUUGUCCCUGCUUAUAUUCUGAGUCUGCCUGCUAUGUCACUUCCUGCCUGGAUCACAAGACUUCUCUUUACUACACUUCCCAGGAUCCUCCUCGACUCCUAGUCCCGUCUAAUUAGCUUCCCUAUUGGCCAACAGUACUUUAUUUAUCAACCAAUAAGACAAACAUAUACACAUAAGGACCUCCCCCAUCAUAAGCCCAAUAAAUUCAUUGGUUCACCAAGUUGGACUUGGAUAGAAUGUGUCUUUCUCUGGCUCUCUAUUUGGGUGAUUAGACAUCUGUCAGCAUCUCCCCAGGAAAAGUUCAUAUAACUCACCCUUUCUUCUUUCUUUCCCCCUUCUCCUCCUUAUAGUUUUUUUUAUCAUGAGAAGCAAAAGAUUUUUCUUUUUAGGAAGGAAAUGAAAGCAUACUUGUUGUGAAGCAGUGCAGGUGAGGUUUGCCACAGCCCUUCUGAGGAAUUUAUCUAAUCUCAGUUAUCCCCUAAAGGCCCACCUCCACAACCAUUCACCCGGGGACUUGGGGAUUAAGUUGUUAACACAUGAACACUCAGGGGUGAGGGGGGUGGAUACCCAAACCACAGGGACCAUUUUUGCAGGGCCACAGAAAACACCAUCCAGCUGGGUAUGGCGGCUCAUGCCUCUAACCUUAGCUUUCAGGGGGCUGAGUGAGUUUCAGGGCAGUCUGCACUACAUGGUGAGAUCCUGUUUCAAAAGGCAUGCAAGCAGGAACCAGAGAGAUGUUUCAGUGGUUAGGAAUACGGUCUACUCUUCCAGAAUGUCAGAAUUGAACUGGGUGGUGUCUGAGUACUGCCGAGGAAAGAAACACAUAUUUAGGGUUAGGGAAACUGAAGUUUCACCAAACGGAAUCUUAGCUUAAUACCAGGUAAUGGGUAUUUGUGAUGAAGGUGAAGGGGGAGAAAAAACACAGUAGCGUUUUUUCUUUUUAUAAUCACUUAGAUAAUGACUGACUACCUCUAGUUAAAUGAUAAUGGCUAUUUAUUGAGAGUUUAUAGUUUAGUGUUAAAGUAUAAUGUAUAAUAACAAUAGUUAUUAAAUAGAUAUAUGAUUGUACAGACUAUGGGCAGGAGAAAUUCAGAGCAUACUGCUUGCCGGGGUCUGGGCUUGUAUAAGUCCCACACUACAACAGCCAUCUUGGGGCUGUAAUUGGAACCAUCCGAACAGCUCUGGGUCCAUCCCUGAGUGGGAGUGUGUGGACCUGGGGAAGCUAAUUACCUAAUGGCGUCAUCGUCAAGGACAAGACAUCUCAGGAGGGCUCUCAGUCCACGCUGGAGUCCCUGGUUUAUUCAAGCAUCCUCUUAAAUAGCUUUCCUGCUGUGGGGGUGAUAUCAGAAGACAUCUAUUAUCAUGUAUAAAGCUGAUAUCAAAUAUUUCCUUUAAUCCUAGAGACACCCCUAAAACUGCAUGUCCUUACCAGCCUCUCACCAGUCCCUAGGCAUGUAUAGAAGCCCUCAGAAUAAGUGUGGGCCCACCCAGGGCCUAGGUCUUUUGUUACGAAAACUAGGAGACAUUCUCCACUGAGGCCAAGCCAUCUGGUGGAAACCAGGCAGACAUCUAAAAGACAAUGGAGAUUCGAGCUUCUGGGAUAGAGCUUGAGGCCUGUGACCCAAAAUAUCAUAAUUGAUCUUUUUUUGGGCCCGGACAACUGCUGUAAGAAUUUGACAUUCCAGUGAAAUGACGAUGCAAUAUUAUUUGAGGACAGACUGUAAUUGAUUAAAAAUAUAGUUGUGAGCUUUUUUGUUGUUGUUGUUUUGUUGCUGUGAUAAAAC
ensembl:lncRNA